AUUGAACGCUAGCGGCAUGCUUAACACAUGCAAGUCGAACGGUAGCAGACCUAGCUUGCUAGGUGCUGACGAGUGGCGGACGGGUGAGUAACGCGUAGGAAUCUACCUUUUUGUGGGGAAUCACUUGGGGAAACUCAAGCUAAUACCGCAUAAGCCCUAAGGGGGAAAGCAUGGGACCGAAAGGCCAUGCGCGAAAAGAUGAGCCUGCGUCGGAUUAGCUAGUUGGUGGGGUAAAGGCCUACCAAGGCGAGGAUCCGUAGCUGGUCUGAGAGGACGACCAGCCACACUGGGACUGAGACACGGCCCAGACUCCUACGGGAGGCAGCAGUAGGGAAUAUUGGACAAUGGGCGCAAGCCUGAUCCAGCAAUGCCGCGUGUGUGAAGAAGGCCUGCGGGUUGUAAAGCACUUUCAGUGGGGAGGAAGGCCUCGGUGUUAAUAGUACCUAGGAUUGACGUUACCCAAAUAAGAAGCACCGGCUAACUCUGUGCCAGCCGCCGCAGUAA
rnacentral:rRNA from 1 species